CCUAACCAAUUGAAAAUCAUCAGAUACACUACCAUGCUGAACAUCAUCUUUUGUAUCCCAUACAACCAUCUGACCUAUGCCUUGAUAAGCCUUGCCACUAGGAGAUGAAUUCUUAUUCUUCUUCAUGUGUGUCCCUCCAAAGUUAUCAACAUUGUUCUUCUUUGUCCUGACAGCAGAUCCAGAACGUUGUUGGAUUGUGAAAUCAUUUUUCUUCCCUUUGCCUCUAUCUGUACCACCUGCCAAGGUUUUACAUUUAUGGGCCAUUUUUCCCUGCCUCCAAGGAUCAUUCCCUGCAGCCAUAAGACCCUGCACAACAACCCUGUCCAAUGCAAACUCCAGACCUUCUUUGUCCUCCUCUAACAUUGUAUUUGUACAGAAAGAUAAGUCUAAAAGCUUUCUCCCUGAGCUUUUCUUCUCCAUCUUAAAUGCAAAAUCCAUCUCUAAAUUAUCCUCCAGACCUC
rnacentral:misc_RNA from 1 species